rnacentral:rRNA from 1 species
ACGGGUGAGUAAUGUCUGGGAAACUGCCUGAUGGAGGGGGAUAACUACUGGAAACGGUAGCUAAUACCGCAUAACGUCGCAAGACCAAAGAGGGGGACCUUCGGGCCUCUUGCCAUCAGAUGUGCCCAGAUGGGAUUAGCUAGUAGGUGGGGUAACGGCUCACCUAGGCGACGAUCCCUAGCUGGUCUGAGAGGAUGACCAGCCACACUGGAACUGAGACACGGUCCAGACUCCUACGGGAGGCAGCAGUGGGGAAUAUUGCACAAUGGGCGCAAGCCUGAUGCAGCCAUGCCGCGUGUAUGAAGAAGGCCUUCGGGUUGUAAAGUACUUUCAGCGGGGAGGAAGGCGAUAAGGUUAAUAACCUUGUCGAUUGACGUUACCCGCAGAAGAAGCACCGGCUAACUCCGUGCCAGCAGCCGCGGUAAUACGGAGGGUGCAAGCGUUAAUCGGAAUUACUGGGCGUAAAGCGCACGCAGGCGGUCUGUCAAGUCGGAUGUGAAAUCCCCGGGCUCAACCUGGGAACUGCAUUCGAAACUGGCAGGCUAGAGUCUUGUAGAGGGGGGUAGAAUUCCAGUGUAGCGGUG